rnacentral:rRNA from 1 species
AGAGUUUGAUCCUGGCUCAGGAUGAACGCUAGCUGGAGGCUUAAUACAUGCAAGUCGAGCGGGAUUGGUAGCAAUACCAUGAGAGCGGCGCACGGGUGAGUAACGCGUACACGACCUACCUCUGACAGGGGGAUAGCCCUGGGAAACUGGGAUUAAUACCGCAUAUUAUUCUGAUUAAUAAAGGAUUGGAAUGAAAGUUCAGGCGGUCAGAGAUGGGUGUGCGUCUGAUUAGCUAGUUGGUAGGGUAACGGCCUACCAAGGCGAUGAUCAGUAGGGGGCGUGAGAGCGUGGUCCCCCACACGGGUACUGAGACACGGACCCGACUCCUACGGGAGGCAGCAGUAAGGAAUAUUGGACAAUGGCCGCAAGGCUGAUCCAGCCAUCCAGCGUGCAGGAAGAAGGCCCUAUGGGUUGUAAACUGCUUUUAUCAGGGAAUAAACCUCUGGAUUCACUCCGGAGCUGAAGGUACCUGAAGAAUAAGCACCGGCUAACUCCGUGCCAGCAGCCGCGGUAAUACGGAGGGUGCGAGCGUUAUCCGGAAUUACUGGGUUUAAAGGGUGCGUAGGCGGCUUUGUAAGUCAGGAGUGAAAGUUUGCGGCUCAACCGUAAAAUUGCUUCUGAUACUGCAUGGCUAGAAUUAGGAUGAGGUCAGCGGAAUGUGGCAUGUAGCGGUGAAAUGCAUAGAUAUGCCAUAGAACACCAAUUGCGAAGGCAGCUGGCUAGACCUGGAUUGACGCUGAGGCACGAAAGCGUGGGGAGCGAACAGGAUUAGAUACCCUGGGUAGUCCACGCCCUAAACGAUGCUUACUCGACGUAUGGCACUAGUUGUUGUGCGUCCAAGGGAAACCGUUAAGUAAGCCACCUGGGGAGUACGACCGCAAGGUUGAAACUCAAAUGAAUUGACGG